UACAGAGGUCCCAAGCGUUGUUCGGAUUCACUGGGCGUAAAGGGUGCGUAGGUGGUUGGGAAAGUUUGAUGUGAAAGCUCGGAGCUUAACUCCGAAAUGGCAUUGAAUACUUCUUAACUUGAGGGUCGGAGGGGAGACUGGAAUUCUCGGUGUAGCAGUGAAAUGCGUAGAUAUCGAGAGGAACACCAGUGGCGAAGGCGAGUCUCUGGACGACUCCUGACACUGAGGCACGAAGGCCAGGGGAGCAAACGGG
rnacentral:rRNA from 1 species